rnacentral:rRNA from 1 species
UACGGGGGGGGCAAGCGUUGUUCGGAAUUACUGGGCGUAAAGGGCUCGUAGGCGGCCCUCUCAGUCGGAUGUGAAAUCCCCGGGCUCAACCUGGGAAUUGCAUUUGAUACUGGAUAGCUAGAGUUCGGCAGAGGGAAGUGGAAUUUCUGGUGUAGCGGUGAAAUGCGUAGAUAUCAGAAGGAACAUCAGUGGCGAAAGCGACUUCCUGGACCAGAACUGACGAUCAGGCACGAAAGCGUGGGGAGCAAACAGG